UACGUAGGGGGCUAGCGUUGUCCGGAAUCAUUGGGCGUAAAGCGCGCGUAGGCGGCCCGGUAAGUCCGUUGUGAAAGUCAAAGGCUCAACCUUUGAAAGCCGAUGGAUACUGCCGGGCUGGAGUCCGGAAGAGGCGAGUGGAAUUCCUGGUGUAGCGGUGGAAUGCGCAGAUAUCAGGAGGAACACCAAUAGCGAAGGCAGCUCGCUGGGACGGUACUGACGCUGAGACGAGAAGCG
rnacentral:rRNA from 1 species